GGUGGCUCAGUGUUAGAGUGCUUGCUUUGCAUGCAUGAGGCUCUGGGUUUGAAUCCUCAGCACCA
rfam:Dipodomys ordii contig_23656, whole genome shotgun sequence.